GGCGUGCCAAACAAGCCCUAAUUUCUAGAGAAUUCUCUGGCCUUUACUGCCCCGCGAGGCGUGGCAAUUUUGGUUUUCCUCUUCUCCAAGGAACUAGGGAACUCCUUUCUCCAAAAUAAUAAUAAUAAUUAUCAUUUUGAUUUUUACUCCUUCAUCACUGUUGCUGAAUCAAAGCUCGGAUCAACAGGUUGAUCCAUAGGUUGAGAGAGAAAAUGGUGGAUGAAUUGAAGCAAGG
rnacentral:misc_RNA from 1 species